UACGGAGGGUGCGAGCGUUGUCCGGAAUCACUGGGCGUAAAGGGCGCGUAGGCGGGAUGGCAAGUCGGUCGUGAAAUCCUUCGGCUCAACCGAAGAACGUCGGCCGAUACUGCCGUUCUUGAGGGAUGCAGAGGAGAUUGGAAUUCCCGGUGUAGCGGUGAAAUGUGUAGAGAUCGGGAGGAACACCGGUGGCGAAGGCGGGUCUCUGGGCAUCUCCUGACGCUGAGGCGCGAAAGCGUGGGGAGCAAACGGG
rnacentral:rRNA from 1 species